UAUAGAUGUUGUUAUUUUUGCUCAGGAUGAACGCUGGCGGCGUGCUAAUACAUGCAAGUCGAACGCUUUGUGGUUCAACUGAUUUGAAGAGCUUGCUCAGAUAUGACGAUGGACAUUGCAAAGAGUGGCGAACGGGUGAGUAACACGUGGGAAACCUACCUCUUAGCAGGGGAUAACAUUUGGAAACAGAUGCUAAUACCGUAUAACAAUAGCAACCGCAUGGUUGCUACUUAAAAGAUGGUUCUGCUAUCACUAAGAGAUGGUCCCGCGGUGCAUUAGUUAGUUGGUGAGGUAAUGGCUCACCAAGACGAUGAUGCAUAGCCGAGUUGAGAGACUGAUCGGCCACAAUGGGACUGAGACACGGCCCAUACUCCUACGGGAGGCAGCAGUAGGGAAUCUUCCACAAUGGGCGAAAGCCUGAUGGAGCAACGCCGCGUGUGUGAUGAAGGGUUUCGGCUCGUAAAACACUGUUGUAAGAGAAGAAUGACAUUGAGAGUAACUGUUCAAUGUGUGACGGUAUCUUACCAGAAAGGAACGGCUAAAUACGUGCCAGCAGCCGCGGUAAUACGUAUGUUCCAAGCGUUAUCCGGAUUUAUUGGGCGUAAAGCGAGCGCAGACGGUUAUUUAAGUCUGAAGUGAAAGCCCUCAGCUCAACUGAGGAAUUGCUUUGGAAACUGGAUGACUUGAGUGCAGUAGAGGAAAGUGGAACUCCAUGUGUAGCGGUGAAAUGCGUAGAUAUAUGGAAGAACACCAGUGGCGAAGGCGGCUUUCUGGACUGUAACUGACGUUGAGGCUCGAAAGUGUGGGUAGCAAACAGGAUUAGAUACCCUGGUAGUCCACACCGUAAACGAUGAGUGCUAGGUGUUUGAGGGUUUCCGCCCUUAAGUGCCGCAGCUAACGCAUUAAGCACUCCGC
rnacentral:rRNA from 1 species